GGUUAAGCGACUAAGCGUACACGGUGGAUGCCCUGGCAGUCAGAGGCGAUGAAGGACGUGCUAAUCUGCGAAAAGCGUCGGUAAGGUGAUAUGAACCGUUACAGCCGGCGAUGUCCGAAUGGGGAAACCCAGUGCAAUUCGUUGCACUAUCGUUUGAUGAAUACAUAGUCAAACGAGGCGAACCGGGGGAACUGAAACAUCUAAGUACCCCGAGGAAAAGAAAUCAACCGAGAUUCCCCAGUAGCGGCGAGCGAACGGGGAGCAGCCCGGAGUCUGAAUCAGCUUGUGUGUUAGUGGAAGCGUCUGGAAAGUCGCAGGGUACAGGGUGAUACUCCCGUACACUAAAACACACAGGUUGUGAACUCGAAGAGUAGGGCGGGACACGUGGUAUCCUGUCUGAAUAUGGGGGGACCAUCCUCCAAGGCUAAAUACUCCUGACUGACCGAUAGUGAACCAGUACCGUGAGGGAAAGGCGAAAAGAACCCCGGCGAGGGGAGUGAAAAAGAACCUGAAACCGUGUACGUACAAGCAGUAGGAGCCCACUAGUUGGGUGACUGCGUACCUUUUGUAUAAUGGGUCAGCGACUUAUAUUCUGUAGCAAGGUUAACCGUAUAGGGGAGCCGCAGGGAAACCGAGUCUUAACUGGGCGUUAAGUUGCAGGGUAUAGACCCGAAACCCGGUGAUCUAGCCAUGGGCAGGUUGAAGGUUGGGUAACACUAACUGGAGGACCGAACCGACUAAUGUUGAAAAAUUAGCGGAUGACUUGUGGCUGGGGGUGAAAGGCCAAUCAAACCGGGAGAUAGCUGGUUCUCCCCGAAAGCUAUUUAGGUAGCGCCUCGUGAAUUCAUCUUCGGGGGUAGAGCACUGUUUCGGCUAGGGGGUCAUCCCGACUUACCAACCCGAUGCAAACUACGAAUACCGAAGAAUGUUAUCACGGGAGACACACGGCGGGUGCUAACGUCCGUCGUGAAGAGGGAAACAACCCAGACCGCCAGCUAAGGUCCCAAAGUCAUGGUUAAGUGGGAAACGAUGUGGGAAGGCCCAGACAGCCAGGAUGUUGGCUUAGAAGCAGCCAUCAUUUAAAGAAAGCGUAAUAGCUCACUGGUCGAGUCGGCCUGCGCGGAAGAUGUAACGGGGCUAAACCAUGCACCGAAGCUGCGGCAGCGACACUAUGUGUUGUUGGGUAGGGGAGCGUUCUGUAAGCCGUUGAAGGUGGCCUGUGAGGGUUGCUGGAGGUAUCAGAAGUGCGAAUGCUGACAUAAGUAACGAUAAUGCGGGUGAAAAACCCGCACGCCGGAAGACCAAGGGUUCCUGUCCAACGUUAAUCGGGGCAGGGUGAGUCGACCCCUAAGGCGAGGCCGAAAGGCGUAGUCGAUGGGAAACAGGUUAAUAUUCCUGUACUCGGUGUUACUGCGAAGGGGGACGGAGAAGGCUAUGUUGGCCGGGCGACGGUUGUCCCGGUUUAAGCGUGUAGGUGUGUGUUCCAGGUAAAUCCGGUUCACUUUAACACUGAGGCGUGAUGACGAGGCACUACGGUGCUGAAGUGACAAAUGCCCUGCUUCCAGGAAAAGCCUCUAAGCAUCAGGUAACAUCAAAUCGUACCCCAAACCGACACAGGUGGUCAGGUAGAGAAUACCAAGGCGCUUGAGAGAACUCGGGUGAAGGAACUAGGCAAAAUGGUGCCGUAACUUCGGGAGAAGGCACGCUGAUGGUAAGUGAAGCGACUUGCUCGUGGAGCUGAAAUCAGUCGAAGAUACCAGCUGGCUGCAACUGUUUAUUAAAAACACAGCACUGUGCAAACACGAAAGUGGACGUAUACGGUGUGACGCCUGCCCGGUGCCGGAAGGUUAAUUGAUGGGGUUAUCCUCGCGGAGAAGCUCUUGAUCGAAGCCCCGGUAAACGGCGGCCGUAACUAUAACGGUCCUAAGGUAGCGAAAUUCCUUGUCGGGUAAGUUCCGACCUGCACGAAUGGCGUAAUGAUGGCCAGGCUGUCUCCACCCGAGACUCAGUGAAAUUGAACUCGCUGUGAAGAUGCAGUGUACCCGCGGCAAGACGGAAAGACCCCGUGAACCUUUACUAUAGCUUGACACUGAACACUGGUCCUUGAUGUGUAGGAUAGGUGGGAGGCUUUGAAGUGUGGACGCCAGUCUGCAUGGAGCCAUCCUUGAAAUACCACCCUUUAAUGGCUGGUGUUCUAACGUGGGCCCCUAAUCGGGGUUGCGGACAGUGUCUGGUGGGUAGUUUGACUGGGGCGGUCUCCUCCUAAAGAGUAACGGAGGAGCACGAAGGUCAGCUAAUCCUGGUCGGACAUCAGGAGGUUAGUGCAAUGGCAUAAGCUGGCUUGACUGCGAGCGUGACGGCGCGAGCAGGUGCGAAAGCAGGUCAUAGUGAUCCGGUGGUUCUGAAUGGAAGGGCCAUCGCUCAACGGAUAAAAGGUACUCCGGGGAUAACAGGCUGAUACCGCCCAAGAGUUCAUAUCGACGGCGGUGUUUGGCACCUCGAUGUCGGCUCAUCACAUCCUGGGGCUGAAGUAGGUCCCAAGGGUAUGGCUGUUCGCCAUUUAAAGUGGUACGCGAGCUGGGUUUAGAACGUCGUGAGACAGUUCGGUCCCUAUCUGCCGUGGGCGCUGGAGAAUUGAGGGGGCUGCUCCUAGUACGAGAGGACCGGAGUGGACGCAUCACUGGUGUUCGGGUUGUCAUGCCAAUGGCAUUGCCCGGUAGCUAAAUGCGGAAGAGAUAAGUGCUGAAAGCAUCUAAGCACGAAACUUGCCCCGAGAUGAGUUCUCCCUGACCCUUUAAGGGUCCUGAAGGAACGUUGAAGACGACGACGUUGAUAGGCCGGGUGUGUAAGCGCAGCGAUGCGUUGAGCUAACCGGUACUAAUGAACCGUGAGGCUUAACCUU
rnacentral:rRNA from 1 species